rnacentral:lncRNA from 1 species
CCUUGACAAUAUCAUGUUACUUCACAAAUAAAGCCAAAUAAACAAAUCUACCGUUGCAUGUUGCAGGUGAAAUGUGUCCUGAUCCUGCAUCUUAUCAGUGCAGCACUUGCCACAGCUGCCCUGGGACUGAUGUCCAAACACCUCCCCUACCGCCAGGACUCCUACCAUUGUGAACACUGUCGGAGGCUGGAGCUACAUGCUGUGCUGUUGAUCGAUGGAAUUCUGGGGACACUGGUGAUCUUCCUGGUGCUAGAGCUCUUGAUCUGCAUCACUGCCAUGCUGUUUGGGCUCAGUGUCCUAGCUGCCGGUGGAAACCAGGCUUCAAGUCACAGACCUGUUUAUCCACCAACCCGUCCUCCACCUGUUCCAGCUGCGCAAGCUGUUCAGGCUGCUCCUGCUGCAGUGGAGCCAUCUCAGGUGGCUGUAGUUGUUACCAAACCUGAUUCAGAGGAGGUGGAGGACAUCACCACCCCACCCACUGAACCCCAGGUGGAGCCAAUAGAAACUGUGGCCACAGAACCCUAAACACAACAACACUGCACUGCACACUGUGGAGUCUUGUGAUGUCAGCCAUAGUAACAAUAUACCUGUAAUUAGAGCUAAAUCUGCUGAAGGAAGCAGCAUUAAGAAAUAUAAAUACACACUUUGUAAAAUACUUUAAAAUUUCUGGCAUGACUUGAACAAAGUAUCACUAUACGCACCACUGUACCUUCAGUAUGUUGCUGUGGUAUUAUUAGAAAUAUUAUGUGCAUUUAUUCUCCAGGUAAGUGGAGUAAAGUCUUUUAAUCUCUCUUAUCAUGAUUGACUGUUGUCAACAUUCUGUUGAUCCUGUUUGGUUACAAAAACAGUAUUAGAGAAUAAAGUCUGCUGUUGAUGUCCA